rnacentral:ribozyme from 1 species
UUUUUUUUUUUUUUUUUUUUUUUUUUUUUUCAGCUCUCUUUGUUGGUCACUUUUCAAACCAAAACG